AAGGCAGGCUGGGAGCUGGUGUUGCUAUGGCUGUGGUGUAGGCCGGCAGCUGUAGCUCUGAUUCGACCCCUAGCCUGCAGCUGCAGCCCUAAAGAGACAAAAAGAAAAAAAAAGAAAAAAAAGGAAAAAACUUGAUGAUAAGGCAACAGGGAAUUAACAAAAGGAACAGCAAGUUGUCAAUUACCUGAAAAUAGAUUGACGCCGUGGAUAAGACUGUAAAUUAGAGAGUAACAAUACACUGAUUAGCAGAUAUUAAAAAGGAUGCUCAGAGAACUUGCAGGGAGGGGUGGGCAUUGGCGCUUUUGUCACAUGUCUCUGUGGGACACGUUGGCAACACUUACCAAAAACAUGGACUUUGUCUUAGAAUUUACCCUGGGGCUGUGCUAAGAGCCCUGCCCCCAAAUAUAUGCUCCACAGUGUUUUCAUAGCAUUCUGAAAAUAGCGAAAACCUGCAGAAUAAGUGGCCUGUGAUAAAGGAUCAGUCUACAAAUUUUAUUUAUCCAGAACAAUGUCUUUCUUGCCACUAUGAAAAUCACCCAACGCAUCCACAUUACUGAUCUUGAAAACUGCCGGUGCUGGAGAUACUGCAUGGAAAGUUGUUCAGGAGGGGGUUCCCGUCGUGGCGCAGCGGUUAACGAAUCCGACUAGGAACCAUGAGGUUGCGGGUUGGAUCCCUGCCCUUGCUCAGUGGGUUAAGGAUCCGGCGUUGCCGUGAGCUGUGGGGUAGGUCGCAGACGCGGCUUGGAUCCCGCGUUGCUGUGGCUCUGGCGUAGGCUGGCAGCUACAGCUCCAAUUUGACUCCUAGCCUGGGAACCACCAUAUGCCACGGGAGCGGCCCAAGAAAUAGCAAAAAGACAAAAAAAAAAAAAAAAAAAAAGCAAGUUGUUCAGGAGGGACCGCGUGGACAACCCCAGGCUUUUCCAGGAAGUGCAAACACACAGACACGGAGAGCUAAGGGCUUUUCUGUGCGACGGAGAUGGGCUGUCGACUGACGGACGGUAUAUUUUGCACAGUGAAUCUGCGCACAUAUCACCUACGAAGGGAUACAAACUUCCCCACGUGCCUUCCCGCCCGGGUCCUGGGGGAAGCGGGGUUUGGAAGAGCCGGCCUUCGGCAGGCGAGUCGCCCGGGCACCUGCUCUGCGCGGAGCCCCAGAAGCAGCAGGCCUGGCUCCUGGCACAUCUGCCUGGCGUCUGGGCUGCUCGGCAGCCCCACGAGCGAGCGAGGGCCUGCUGUGAGCGCAGACGCCCCCGGGACGGAAUGUUCUGGAAGGCAGCAGCAGGUCAGAACGCGAGCUCUGGCAGACACCCACUGUCCAGACUGCGGGAAGGAGCCCGAGCUGGGCAAGCGUGGCUGCGGCUCCGCGAGGCAGCGUCAGCCCGCGGCUGCCAGGAAACAGCCGUCCUGACCCGGGCGAUCGGAACAAACCCCGGCGUCCGGGAAGAACGUUGCUAAAGCGGCUCCAGCCUCGGAACAGAAGCCAAACCAGGGGCAGACGGAAGGCAGACGGCUGAGCGAAUUUCAGGGCGCGGGCGUGAGCGGAACCUUCCCGUCCGCUGGGGGCUGGGCUCCCAUCGGACCCUCGCCCCAAAUGUCUAAGGCCACAGACAGGGGGAAGCGAGUUCCUACCCAGGCAGACAGUGCAAAGAAGGUCCGGUGGCUGCGGGGCGGGGCGGGGCGGGGCAAGCCUGCGUAGGACACGAGGUCAGACCCUCAGGGUCGGGGACAGGCUCCGGAGGUGCCUCCGCCUCCCCAGGCCUCGGUCUGGGGGUCCCCCCCCCCCCCGCCGCCCCCACGACUAUCGGGCUGUGGGCAGAGCCUGGCCAUAGCCCCAGGCGCCAGGAUACCUGGAGAUGCCAUCAGACGAGGCCGGGCCGGCAGCAUCUGCCUGCAUCCCCAGGUGACAGCGGACAGUGCUUUCUGGAAUGAAGGUGACUAAGACAAGUUCGAAUCUGGCAAUGACACAGGUACAAACUCGCACAGACGCAGUGGGUGCCUACCUCUGCCGCUGAAAACCGUAACAAGGAGAUUUCUGGACUCACCCAUUUGGCUGUUACGAAAUUUCCUUCCCUUCAAGUGAGCAAAUAUAGGUAGUAUGGUCCGUUUACAAACAUACAGAGAAGAUAAUGAUUUUAGGUCUCCAAAUUACUGAAAAUAUUUAUCUGUGUGGUUCUUUUCAACCACAAUUAAUGCAAAUACCACAAAAAUUUUGAAUUGAAGAUUUGGUUUCGAAAAAGAACUUCUGUGGCCAACACUGCAUUUUUUUGAAUGGCUUUUCGUUUUUUAAAAAACAAAUGUUCCCAUUUUUCUUCCAACGUGUUUCCCUGGGAUUUUUAUUUUUUUGAUCCCUGUACAGCUUCGCUCUGACCACACUUAUUUUUUCUAAAUUCUUUUGUAGUGGAACGCUGUCUUUUUGGAGCGUACAAAAAUGAUGUGGAAGUGACCUCAACCAGCGAGUCUAAAUGUUCCCCACAUGGGCUGCCCUCUGGCCGUCUCUGCAGCGGGCGUCUGAAUCCUGCCCAGGUGCUUGUGACAGUUCCUGAAAACGGCUGGAGGGGAGCAAAGUGGGCUGGAGGGGAGCAAAGUGGGCACAGCCCAUGUCUCAGAGCCUCCAAAACCUAGAAACCAAGAGAAUUUCAAAGCAAGGAGGAGAAACCAGCCCUCCUAUCUAAGUUGCUUUCAAUUUGAGGGACCUGAGGUGGAAACUUAGUGAGAAGAAGACAAAUUGAGCGUCUAAGUAUCAUAAUUUCCUUAUUAAUGAUAACAAUUUCUACUCCAUAUAUUUUUAAUAUGGAGAGCCCAAAUUAAAACAAAUUUAUUUGUCUAAUUUUUAGGGCUGCACCUGCAGCAUAUGCAGGCUCCCAGGUUAGGGGUCAAAUUGGAGCUGCUACUGCCAGCCUGCAAUGCCAGAUCGAAGCCACAUCUGUGACCUACACCACAGCUCACCCCAACGCGGGGCCAGGGAUCAAACCUGCAUCCUCAUUGGUACUAGUCAGAUUCAUUACUACUUAGCCACAAUGGGAACGCCCCCAAAUAAGAUUUAAAACUGGAGGAGUUCCCUGGUAGCUCGAUGGGUUAAGGAUAUGGCAGAGGCAAAAAAAAAUUUUUUUUUUAAUUUAAAACUGGAAUUCUCCUUGCAAAUUAUUUCUUACCAAAGGACUAUAUCAUCUAGCAAUGGAAACUUAUUUUAGGGGUUUGCUUUCUUUCACAGUGGAAAGGGGGGGUCCACAACUAGGCUAAGAAAGCCUUUCAUAGUUUUAGUGUAGCAGACUGUCAGUUCUUCAGUCUUAGGAUAUUUAAAGUGUUGAAAUGUAUUCUGCAGAAAAACUUUGAAAGUUAACCAUCCAACCUCAUGUUGGCCUAAGAAAUGUAAUCUUCAGUGAAAAGAUAAAAACAACGCU
rnacentral:lncRNA from 1 species